GGAAGGGUGGCCGAGUGGUUUAAGGCAGCGGUCUUGAGAACCGCCAGGGGCGCAAGCCCCUCGUGGGUUCGAAUCCCACCCCUUCCGCCA
rnacentral:tRNA from 1 species